GCUUUAAUUUGAUAUUGUAAUGAAAAAUUGAAUAAAGAGGUUUUCGCGAGGACACCUUCAUGUUCUCUUCCUGGUUGAAAACAGCUGACACGACAACCACAGACGCAUUCGGCUGAAAGUCGCCAGUUAACAUGGUCGCGAGUAUCUCCGAAACACCGGAACUGGAUCUCCUGACUGACUUUGACUGACAAAAUUACCAGACUUGAGAAGAGAAGAGAAAGAGAGAGACUGAAAAUCUGGUGUGGAAUUUUGUGUUGGAUUACCUUGUUUUUCUUAUUGUGUUGGACUGUGUGUGUGGGGGGGUGGAUAUUGUGUCUUAAAUUUUCAUUGCAUUAUAAUAUACUCUGCUUGGUAUUGCAGUUAUUGUGUGGUGUUAUGUUAUUGUUGUGUGUCACUCAAUGCAGGGUGUAUUUUCUUAGUAUGGUACAUCCUUUGUAAGGUUUUGCAUUUAAAACAAACAAACAACUAAAAAACAAACAGAAAUACCUCAACUACCUAAAACUUGACCGACAAUCUUACAUGCCAGGGGAGAGACCUGGCUGGCACCCCAGAAAAAAAAAAAACAACGCAAACCUAAACUGAACAAAAUAAAAAUAAAAUAA